AGCAACCUACCGAACUGUGGGGGAUAGCCGGCCUAACGGCCGAGUAAUACCGCAUACGCUUUCAGUGAGGCAUUUCAUUGAAAGGAAACCUACGGAACAGAUCGAGGGGCUCGCGGCCUAUCAGCUAGUUGGCGAGGUAACGGCUCACCAAGGCAUUGAUGGGUAGCUGGUCUGAGAGGACGGACAGCCACACUGGGACUGAGACACGGCCCAG
rnacentral:rRNA from 1 species